rnacentral:tRNA from 1 species
GGGAGCCUAGUUUAAAAAAACGUUUGCCUGUCAAGCAGAAGAUCCUAGAAUUGGGGGUUCCUU